CAGUUCCAAACAUUGUGUAUUUUUGUUCCAAACAGAAACUAAGAAAUGGAUCAAUCCCAGAAUGCGAGUUACCAAGCUGGCCAGACCAAGGGCCAAGCUGAGGAAAAGGCAAGUAAUGCUGCCCAAGGUGCCAAGGGAUCAUGCCAAGAGAGUGGCCCUGGCCAGCAGAUGAAGUCCAUGGCUCAAGAGGCUACCGAUGCUGUUAAGAGUACACUAGGUGCAAACAAAUGAAGCUCAAGCUCAUCGAGGCAGCCAUAAGAACUGAACCAAAGUUUCUCUUUCUUUAUCAUUAAUCGAAUCCUGCACUGUUCGA